AUCCAGCUUAUGAGUUCAAAAUAGGGCGAAACACGCGUUCUGUAU
rnacentral:hammerhead_ribozyme from 1 species